CACCUAUCUCUACCAUUCAAGAGUGCCAAUAUAUCAAUUUUCAAUGCAUCAUUUUAACAAUAAAUCUCUUAUCUUUAGACAAAUAAUAAGUAUAAUUUUUUAGUAUGAGAUUAGGCUUCAAGAAAGCCAACAACAAAUACAAGGUAUCAUUAUUAGCAGUGAAAUCAGGUUAGCAACAAACGAUAAAAUGUUAAAGCGAUAGAGACCAAACCAAACAUGAGAUGUAGGUCCGUGUAGAAUAACAAAGGAGAUGGCAGCGGUGGUGUAACUGUUGACGGUGGUUGGCAGCAGUUACCGGUGAAAGUUGAAAUUACGGAGACAAGUAAACAAAGACAAAGGAAUGCACAUGGUGGAAAGAGGGAAAUGCAUUAAAGAUGGACACCGGAAAGGAAACGUGUACCACAAUUUUUUUUAUAUUAUUUUAUUUUUGGUGCUAAAUGAGAUUUGUAAAAUGAUUCUUUUAGAUUUUAUGAUAAUUGUAAAAUAUUUAUUAGACAUAUUAUAUUUUUUUAGAGUUAUUUUAA